rnacentral:rRNA from 1 species
CGUGUAGGCGGAGAUGCAAGUUGGGAGUGAAAUCCAUGGGCUCAACCCAUGAACUGCUUUCAAAACUGCAUCCCUUGAGUAUCGGAGAGGCAAGCGGAAUUCCUAGUGUAGCGGUGAAAUGCGUAGAUAUUAGGAGGAACACCAGUGGCGAAGGCGGCUUGCUGGACGACAACUGACGCUGAGGCGCGAAAGCGUGGGGAGCAAACA